GACUUUCUUUUUAAGAGUAAUACAGCACCAACAACAGUUAUUUAAUCAAGUAAAAUGUAUAUAAUUAUAUACUAAACCUAGUGAAGUUGAAAUAGAUGCCGGAGAUGUUGCUUCUGAUUCUGUGUCUGUGUUCAGCCAGGCCUACAACUGGAGGUCUGAGCUGCGAUACGCAGGGCCUGCGAGAGAAGGAAUGUACUAGUUGCAUACUUGCAAACUUGCAGGAUGCAGACAGAAUGAUAAAUUAGCCACCUCGGGGGAAUUCAGAGCGAUACAGAAUGACAAAUUAGCCACCUCGGGGGAAUUCAGAGCAAGGCCCUCAUGAACCCUGGUGGUUCAUGAGGGCAAACCAGACCACAUCUGGUUUCUCUGUUUUUCUCUCUGUUUAUUUUUUUAAGACAGAAGAAAUGUUUAGAAACACCCGCUCUCCUCCUGUCUACGAUAUUACAACAGGCUUCUGAUUUUUCACAAGUAAAGCUCCUCAGCUGCGCCGCAGCGGGUCAAUGCAGAGGGGGGAGUGCUAAUUGCCUUGUUGUGUGUCUGGGGCAGUAGUGAGGGAAAAAAAAAGCCCCUGCCCCCUGCAAAUACAUACGUCUAAAGAAAACCUGCUAUUUAACUACAUUAUUUAUGGUAGCAUGACUAGUUAGUACUGACUACAAGUUUGUGAUUUCUUUCAUGCUUUCUCCAAAAUAGUAAAUGCCGGUUUAAACACAUUUGAAACUCAUAGAUUUUUCUGUAACACUCACUAGUGUGAUACAUUUCAGUAAAUGUUUCUCAUUUGUACAUGUACUUCUUAAGAAUAUGUGACUGUUUGUAAGCAGGCCAACGGGAGGUUAUUCAAAUUAAACUUUUAACUUUCCUUGGUUAAAGAAUUUGUCCAGAAUUUUCCAAAAUUUAUCCUCGCAUCAUUGUAAAUGCUACUUUGGUUCAAUUUUUUUCCUGCUGCUGAAUCAACACUGAUCUUCCCAGAGCUUCAUGCUUUCUCCAAAAUAGUAAACGCCGGUGUUAGAUAUUUUUUAACAUUAUCAUUUUGUUGUUACUUUAGUUUAUAUUCAGUCUAAAGUAUUAUUGUGAUUUUAGUAUAAACUGACCUGGAGGUUACAAACUGUCUUCAUGCGAGAUAGUAAAACUUUAUGGUUCUCAGACCCUAAAGUUUUCUCUGGUGUUUAUCUACCCGUCUUAGGUGACAGUUUGACCCAGAGCUGAACUGGGCUCAGAUUGUAAAUUAGAUAUCACACCUGGAACUGAGUUGUUGGUCUGUUUGUGUUAAAUGUUUUACGACCUCUGUUGUUUGAUGCUUUGACAAUAAGAGGGAGCUCACGUGAAAGCAGAUCAGAACUCUCUAUUGAAGAGCUUGGAGGAGCUGUUGAUCGGGAUUUCUCCUUCUGCAGAAGCCUGACCAUAUUUAAUUCAUAUACGUUGUCUGUGGUUAUUUUAUUGUAGGUUCGAGGAAAAUACCUAACAUUUAUUGGUGCCGAAACCCGGGAUCUCUCAACCCCCCGCUGUCAGGCAGAGGAAGACGCGCUGAAUCCGUGCACGGCCAGAGUCAAUUGGAGACCUGGAAAGAAAGACCCAGGAAGCAAAUUCUUCGCUGGGCCAGCGACACAUGUCCGACUUUGUCUGUCAACGGCGGAGUGACGAGAUCCGACUGGACAACUUGAGAACUACGGAAACGAGGCCGCUCUGAUCGAGCCAGGUGACUGGGUCUACAUAAAAGUCAUCAAACGAAAGAAACUGGGCGAGUCCACAGUGGGAAGGACCGUUCAAGUGCUGAUGACCACACCAACAGCUGUAAAGAUUGCUGAAAGACCCAGCUGGAUACAUCUCAGUCACUGUAAGCUGCAGAGAGUGUUAAACCCCUAAAUUUGGAGUAGAGAGGAAGGAGAGCUCUUUUGAGAGCUUCCGGGCUACAAAGGGGAGCUACAUUAUAGUUGUAGUUCGUCUCAAACCCGGUGAAGAAACGCUAAGAUUCUCACUCCUUUAGUUUGGGGGUUCUGACAUCUCUGUACGUCAAGCAGCAAUGGGGACUCCAUAUGACAGAUGGAUUUUCUGCUGCGCUGUGACUGUUGUAUGUUUGAUGUUUGGUGAAGGAAGCGAGCCUGAGUUCCAGUCACAUGACUACAGUACCAAUCUUGGUGGAAACUGAUGAACAGAACUGCUUAUGAGGGACAUGCUGUGAACUGCUAUGUGUGUGCGCAACUGCCGGUUUCCAUACACAACUCAGGUCUCCGACCAGGUAACAUUGCUGACGACAAACAGAUGUGUCUCUAUGUUCUAAGCACUAGACCGCGGCGCAUCCCACCACCAAGGGGAGACAGACCACGUGAGAAGGACUAUUCAGCUGACCUCCGGAUGGGAGAGGCAGUGCAAGGACUGUUUCAAUUUUUAAAUUGUUCACUGGCAGACGAUGUACUUCCUUUUCGUCAUCUCAACAAACUGUAUGGAAAAUACCAGAGAUCAUUUCGUUGGCAGGAGCCAAACCAGGAUCUCUGAGGAUCUGUGUGUAUAAUAAUGGACAUGUUGUUCUAGGGAUGUUGCCCUGGCACUUGUGUAACAGAGUUUACACCUACUGCGAACCGACACAGGAUUUCAUCGACUGCACAGCCUGCAGGGGUCAAAGGGCGACUCCACACUGCAAAGUCUGGAAGGAAAACCCAGAUUGUCACAACCUGCUUCAGAGGAGUUUCAACAUCACGCAUAAGACUAAGAGGAGACAAAUGACAACACUGUGCAGCGCCAUAGUGCCAGGAGAUUAUGGCUCUCAGAUAUUAGCAGACUGGAAAGCACAAAAUGAUCUACACACCCGCUCCAAGCGAACAGCUAUGCCAGAGGUCAAAAGAUGGGGAGGCCUAACAACACAUACUGGAGUUCCAUGGGAAUUCAGGAUUUGGAACGGCGGAGAAAGGUUCUUUUUCCGUGGGUUGGUCUAGGAGAGAUUUGAUACCAUGUUUGAGAUAAACAGGUACGGAUUAUUACGACUGAUCAACAUCACAUACCAGCUGGCCAAUGGCACCAUGAAAGAACUGACUGAACUGAGAAACAUGGUUAUGCAAAACCGUGUUGUCCUGGACUGUCUCACUGCCCCUCAGGGAGGGGUCUGCAAAAUCAUUGGCCCAACGUGCUGGAAGAUUUAAAACAGUAUGUUGAAAGUGGAACACGCGGCUCAUCCUCUUUUGGCGCACUUCUGGACCCUGGUGGUCCUUGCUGUUAAAGCUUGUGACACCUAUUCUGAUUGUGUUAAUUCUAUUCUGUCUUUUUACGGGUUGCAUUAUUCCUUGUCUACGGAAUAUGAUAUUUAAAACAAUUAACACGACUGUUAUCAACUAUCAGCUGACAAAGGCAUCUUAUGAAACAACUGAAGAUGACUUGUUCCAAGUUUCUGACGAUUUUCUGAACAAUGAUGAAUUUCUGUAAUCAAUAAACAGAUAAAUUCAUUUGCUGAAUGACUCCAACACCGAAAAUGUGGGAACAAGUGAUGUUUAGGAUGAGAAAACUGCAUUUGAUUUUUUACUGUUUAUUCUUUUGUUUUUUCAUGUAUUUCAUUAUAUAACUUUUAUUCAUUAUGUAUUCUCUGUGUUUAGAUUAGUUUUUAUUAUUUUCUUUUAUUUUCUUUUCUAUAUUUGGCUUCUGCAUAGCAGUUUAUACACAUAGUAAAAUGAUAAAAAGGGGGGAAUGUUAGAUAUUUUUUAACAUUAUCAUUUUGUUGUUACUUUAGUUUAUAUUCAGUCUAAAGUAUUAUUGUGAUUUUAGUAUAAACUGACCUGGAGGUUACAACUGUCUUCAUGCGAGAUAGUAAAACUUUAUGGUUCUCAGACCCUAAAGUUUUCUCUGGUGUUUAUCUACCCGGUCUUAGGUGACAGUUUGACCCAGAGCUGAACUGGGCUCAGAUUGUAAAUUAGAUAUCACACCUGGAACUGAGUUGUUGGUCUGUUUGUGUUAAAUGUUUUACGACCUCUGUUGUUUGAUGCUUUGACAAUAAAGAGGGAGCUCACGUGAAAGCAGAUCAGAACUCUCUUUGACCAGCUCGGAGGAGCUGUUGAUCGGGAUUUCUCCUUCUGCAGAAGCCUGACCAUAUUUAAUUCAUAUACGUUGUCUGUGGUUAUUUUAUUGUAGGUUCGAGGAAAAUACCUAACAGCCGGUAUAAACACAUUUGAAACUCAUACAUUUUUCUCUGUAACACUCGCUAGUGUGAAACAUGUCAGUAAAAGUUUCUCAUUUGUAAAUUUAUUUCUUAAGAAUAUGUGACACUUAUUAAACAGACCUUACUGAGACUACUCAUAUUUAAGUUUUAGCUUUCCCCAGAGUUUAAAGUUUUUUUUUCUCUCUUUCUUUCUUUAUUUUUUCUUAACACUGCGCAACUACGCUCCGACAUGGUAAAUUAUUUUGUUACCUUUAUCAUUAUCCACUACUUUUGUCUCUAACUUAUAUGCUGUAUGUUUCUCGGCCCAAAUGAUGCUUUUUUUCCUCCAUCCAUCAUUUUACACACUUGAGUGUGUUCAAUAACGAAAUAUAGUUGUUGAAUUUUCCGUUACUGAAGCUUAUAAAUGAUCAAUGUAAACUUUCAGUCUGUAUUCAGAUAGUGAAUACAAUUCCUAUUAUUUAGA